UAGGGAAUAUUGGACAAUGGGCGAAAGCCUGAUCCAGCAACGCCGCGUGCGCGAUGACAGCCUUCGGGUUGUAAAGCGCUUUUAGAGGAGAUGAGAAAGGACAGUAUCCUCAGAAUAAGCCUCGGCGAACUACGUGCCAGCAGCCGCGGUAAAACGUAGGAGGCUAGCGUUAUCCGGAUCUAUUGGGCGUAAAGCGCGUGCAGGCGGUUUGAUAAGUUGGAUGUGAAAUCUCCCGGCUUAACUGGGAGCGGUCGUUCAAAACUAUCAGGCUAGAGAAUGGGAGAGGAGGGUGGAAUUCCGGGUGUAGUGGUGAAAUGCGUAGAUAUCCGGAGGAACACCAGUGGCGAAAGCGGCCUUCUAGGCCAUUUCUGACGCUAAGACGCGAAAGCUAGGGUAGCAAACGG
rnacentral:rRNA from 1 species